GACGAAGGGGGCUAGCGUUGUUCGGAAUUACUGGGCGUAAAGCGAGUGUAGGUGGUUGUCCAAGUUGGAUGUGAAAGCCUUGAGCUCAACUCAAGAAAUGCAUUCAGGACUGGGCGGCUAGAGGACCGGAGAGGAUAGGGGAAUUCCUGGUGUAGCGGUGAAAUGCGUAGAUAUCAGGAGGAACACCGGUGGCGAAGGCGCCUAUCUGGCCCGAUACUGACGCUGAGGCGCGAAAGCUAGGGGAGCAAACGGG
rnacentral:rRNA from 1 species